GAGUUCCGUGGUUGGCUCACAAGUAAGAAAGUAAGCAAAAAAAAAGGUGUUUAAAGUGUGCAGCAGCUCUUUGCAUGAAGAAAACAUGAGAGAUUGGAAGCUCGUAAUUUGAGUUCGUUGGUGCAGAACUGCAGAAACACAGCUAAUCAUUUAUUAAGACCGCCUUGACGUUUCCCUCAGCUCAGUGAAAACAACUGGUUACCCAAAGUCCCACCUGAUGCCCUGACACACACCUCACUGGAGAGAGAAGCAUGUAGAAAACUUCUCAGGAAAACAUCAAAGAGGAAUUCAUCAGUCCUUGAAAAGCUAAACUAUUUCAUGGAUCCUAGGAGGAUAAAUGGGAACUUUGACAAGAAUGGAGAAUGUGGUACUUCAAAGGUGACCUAGGAACCAUACCUUUGAAAUAUAAUCAUCAAGGAAGGUAGCACCCAUAUUUCCCAGUUUCUGUGAGAGCCCAACCAUGACCAAGUUGCAAAACUACCACCUGUCAUAGAGGGUUUAUCCUGUAUGGGACUCUCUGUGCUUCCUGGACUAGGGUGAUUAUUUCCUUUCCCAUGUUAGGUAAGUUUUCCUCUAUAAUCUCUUCAAAUAUUUUCUCAGACGCUUUCUUUUUCUCUUCUUCUUCUGGG